UACUGACCAGUGACGAAGAAAAGUACAAGCUUCACUCCCAGAAAAGAGAGGAUUUCAUUUGGCUGAAAGAAAUCUGUGGUGAAAGGUUAUGGAAAGACACUUCUGAGGUUUCAGUCGAAGGAUGUAAAGUAGACUGAAACGCGAAUCCAGCGUUAUGGAAAAGUGGGAAUCUAGGAUUCCAAUUAGGGUGGUACCACGGGUGAAUUUCUCUCUCGUCCCUUGU
rnacentral:ncRNA from 1 species